rnacentral:rRNA from 1 species
CGCUAUUAAGGUUCGUUUGUUCAACGAUUAAAGUCCUACGUGAUCUGAGUUCAGACCGGAGUAAUCCAGGUCAGUUUCUAUCUAUAAAAAAUUUUCUCCAGUACGAAAGGACCGAAAAAAUAGAGCCCAUUACCAAAUAAUGCUCUCACACAGUUGAAAACAAAUAAAACACACAAACACACAAACACCCCAGAACAGGAUAAA